UCGCAGGGUCGUACGAAACCCGGAGGCGUAAUGAAAGUGAAGGUCGUACUAGCGACGACCUAGGUGGGAUCUCGAUCCGUCGGGGCGCGAGUCUCGACGUCGGGCGCACCACCGGCCCGUCUCGGCCGCAACGUCGGCGAGGCGGAGCAAGAGCGUACGCGUUGGGACCCGAAAGAUGGUGAACUAUGCCUGAGUAGGACGAAGCCAGAAGAAAUUCUGGUGGAGGUCCGCAGCGAUUCUGACGUGCAAAUCG
rnacentral:rRNA from 1 species